rnacentral:rRNA from 1 species
UACGGAGGGGGCAAGCGUUGUUCGGAAUUACUGGGCGUAAAGGGCGCGCAGGCGGCUGCUCAAGUCAGGCGUGAAAGGCCUGGGCUCAACCCGGGAAUUGCGCUUGAGACUGGGCUGGCUUGAGUGCGGGAGAGGAUGGUGGAAUUCCCAGUGUAGAGGUGAAAUUCGUAGAUAUUGGGAAGAACACCGGUGGCGAAGGCGGCUACCUGGACCGGUUCUGACACUGAUGCGCGAAAGCGUGGGUAGCAAACAGG